rnacentral:rRNA from 1 species
ACGCACGCUGGCGGCGUGCUUCACACAUGCCGGUCGAACGGAAAGGCCCUGCUUUUGUGGGGUGCUCGAGUGGCGAACGGGUGAGUAACACGUGAGUAACCUGCCCUUGACUUUGGGAUAACUUCAGGAAACUGGGGCUAAUACCGGAUAGGAGCUCCUGCUGCAUGGUGGGGGUUGGAAAGUUUCGGCGGUUGGGGAUGGACUCGCGGCUUAUCAGCUUGUUGGUGGGGUAGUGGCUUACCAAGGCUUUGACGGGUAGCCGGCCUGAGAGGGUGACCGGCCACAUUGGGACUGAGAUACGGCCCAGACUCCUACGGGAGGCAGCAGUGGGGAAUAUUGCACAAUGGGCGGAAGCCUGAUGCAGCAACGCCGCGUGCGGGAUGACGGCCUUCGGGUUGUAAACCGCUUUCGCCUGUGACGAAGCGUGAGUGACGGUAAUGGGUAAAGAAGCACCGGCUAACUACGUG